UGGUGGAGUGAUUUGUCUGGUUAAUUCCGAUAACGAACGAGACCUUAACCUGCUAAAUAGUCCGGCCGGCUUCUGCUGGUCGCUGACUUCUUAGAGGGACUAACAGCGUUUAGCUGUUGGAAGUUUGAGGCAAUAACA
rnacentral:rRNA from 1 species